rnacentral:lncRNA from 1 species
UUUCAAUUGGGUUCUGUGCGUUUAGCUUCUGGGAAUUUCGUUUUUGAGGUCCAACAUAAGUUUGCUGGUAGAGAACGCAGCCUUAGCGCAUUAAAAGCCCAUGAUGCUCGCCGUCACCGCAGAAUUCUCUCCUCUGUCGAUCUCCCUUUAGGUGGUAAUGGCCAUCCUGCUGAAGAUGGGUCAGUUUCUAUAUAAAUAUAUUCUUUCGUCUUCUGUGAUUAAAUCCGGCUGUAAUUUUUUUGGUUUCUUUUAAUAAGUGAGGUGGUUAUGUUUGAUAUUAAUUGCUGGGAGGUUACUUUUUGGCACAUAUAUAUAAUUGCAAUUGGUUCUAGCUCCAGUCGUCAUUGUUAUCCUAGAUUUAUUUUUGCUGUUCUCUGUGCUUGGAAUUGAUAUUGCAGCGAAUUGGGUUUACUGGGAAGGAAUCAAUAAUGUCUUUGUUGUUGCUAUAUUGCUUUUUAUUUGAUAUUUUUCAUGUUCAUUACUUUCUUUGUUUUUGUAUCCAGUACUCCUUUAAUUUGGAUUUGUUGAUUUUUUUUUUAAUUUUUGUUAAAUAUGCUGUAAUUAUCUUCUCCCUGACAUAAAUUCCACUAUUCUGUUUCAUUGUUGAGAUGGAGGAAAAUGAAAGAAACAAUAUCUAGAAACUUGCAAAAUUUGAUGGAAUAAUCCCCUCCCCCCCACAAACUCAUGGUUGUUUUGCGUAACUCAUAUUGGCUGCUUAUAUGAUUUCUUUCAUUUAUUUCUUUAGCCUUUACUUUGCUAAAAUUGGGCUUGGGAAUCCACCAAAGGACUAUUAUGUGCAAGUUGAUUCUGGAAGUGACAUACUAUGGGUGAAUUGUGCCAACUGCGACAAGUGUCCUACAAAAAGCGAUCUUGGUGUAUGCUUCUUUGACAAUUAAGCUAAAUCUCUCUAUAUUCUUAAUGCAUUCAUAAAGUUGUUCACAACACAUUAAAGUUCAUCCUGGCUGCUUACUUAGUUUUAUAUUGACCUUCCUUUUGAGGGAUAUUUUUCUUUAUGGUUUUUCAUUAUAACAG